GGCGGGCAGCCUCCGGGAAACCUUGAGUGUUUGGGUUCCGGGGGAAGUAUGGUUGCAAAGCUGAAACUUAAAGGAAUUGACGGAAGGGCACCACCAGGAGUGGAGCCUGCGGCUUAAUUUGACUCAACACGGGAAAUCUCACCAGGCCCGGACACCGGAAGGAUUGACAGAUUGAGAGCUCUUUCUUGAUUCGGUGGGUGGUGGUGCAUGGCCGUUCUUAGUUGGUGGAGCGAUUUGUCUGGUUAAUUCCGAUAACGAACGAGACUCUAGCCUGCUAAAUAGGCAGUGGAUUAUUCGUCCACUGUACUUCUUAGAGGGACAAGCAGCGUCUAGCUGCACGAGAUUGAGCAAUAACAGGUCUGUGAUGCCCUUAGAUGUUCGGGGCUGCACGCGCGCUACACUGAAGGAAUCAACAUGCUUCUCAACCUUGGCCGGAAGGUCUAGGUAACCCGUUGAAACUCCUUCGUGAUUGGGAUAGGGAAUUGCAAUUAUUUCCCUUGAACGAGGAAUUCCCAGUAAGUGCGGGUCAUCAGCUCGCGCUGAUUACGUCCCUGCCCUUUGUACACACCGCCCGUCGCUACUACCGAUUGGAGGUAGAGCAGAGGCCUCGGGAUUGAUCUCUGGACUGGUUUCCGCUAGCCCAGAAUAUUGAGAACUUGGUCUAU
rnacentral:rRNA from 1 species